AUUGAACGCUAGCGGGAUGCUUUACACAUGCAAGUCGAACGAGUGGCGGACGGGUGAGUAAUAUAUCGGAACGUGCCCCGUAGCGGGGGAUAACUACUCGCAAGAGUGGCUAAUCCCGCAUACUAUUGGAGCGCCCGAUAUCGGAGUAGCUAGUUGGUGGGGUAAAGGCUCACCAAGGCCACGAUCCUUAGUUGGUUUGAGAGGACGACCAGCCACACUGGGACGAAGACCCGGCCCAUACUCCUACGGGAGGCAGCAGUGGGGAAUUUUGGACGAUGGGGGAAACCCUGAUCUAGCCAUCCCGCGUGUAUGAGAAGGCCUUCGGGUUGUAAAGUAAUUUUGGCAGAGAAGCGGUAUCUGCAGAAUAAGCACCGGCUAACUACGUGCCAGCAGCCGCGGUAAUAC
rnacentral:rRNA from 1 species